rnacentral:rRNA from 1 species
UCGCCUGUUUAUCAAAAACAUUGUUUUAAAAAUAAGNAAUACCUGCUCAAUGAAAAAAUUUUUAUAGCCUAUUUAUGCUAAGGUAGCAUAAUAAUUAGCUUUAUAAUUGAAAGAUAGAAUGAAAGGUAUUACUAAAAAUAAUAAUUUUAAUAUAAAUAUUGAAUUUUUAAAAAAUUGAAAACUAUUUUAUAAAUUUUUUAGACGAUAAGACCCUAAGAAGCUUUAUUAAUUAGUGAAAUUAAAAUAAUUUAAAAUUAAUUUUUUUGGGGAAAAUUUUUAUAUUUUUAUAAAAAAUUUAGUAAAAUUUUGAUCUUAAAGAAAAUUUAGAAAAAGCUACUCUAGGGAUAACAGCAUAAUUUUUAUAAAAGUUCUUAUUAAAAUAAAAGUUUGUGACCUCGAUGUUGA